rnacentral:rRNA from 1 species
UACGGAGGGUGCAAGCGUUAAUCGGAAUUACUGGGCGUAAAGCGCACGCAGGUGGCUGAGUCAGUCGAUUGUGAAAGCCCUGGGCUUAACCUAGGAAUUGCAGUCGAUACUACUCAGCUAGAGUAUGGGAGAGGGCAGUGGAAUUCCCGGUGUAGCGGUGAAAUGCGUAGAUAUCGAGAGGAACACCUGCGGCGAAGGCGGGUUGCUGGGCUGACACUGACGCUGAUGCGCGAAAGCUAGGGGAGCGAACGGG